GACGAACGCUGGCGGCGUGCUUAACACAUGCAAGUCGUACUGUAAGGCCCUUUCGGGGGUCCACGAGUGGCGAACUUGUGCGUAACACGUGAGUAACCUGCCCACAACUUUGGGAUAACGCUAGGAAACUGGUGCUAAUACUGUAUAUGUGCUCCUGCUGCAUGUUGGUGGUUUGAAAGCUCCGGCGGUUGUGGAUGGACUCGCGGCCUAUCAGCUUGUUGGUGGGGUAGUGGCCUACCAAGGCGGCGACGGGUAGCCGGCCUGAGAGGGUGACCGGCAACAUUGGGACUGAGAUACGGCCCAGACUCCUACGGGAGGCAGCAGUGGGGAAUAUUGCACAAUGGGCGCAAGCCUGAUGCAGCAACGCCGCGAGAGGGAUGACGGCCUUCGGGUUGUAAACCGCUUUCAGCAGGGACGAAGCUUUUUGUGAAGGUACCUGCAGAAGAAGCACCGGCUAAAUACGUG
rnacentral:rRNA from 1 species